UACUUGAAAAAGGAAUUUAUUGAAUAAUUGUGUGUAAAAUAUGCCAAAAUACAAACACACCUUUCACAGUAUUACAGCUGCACUCUAGUCCUGCAGUACUUGAGCGGCUGUGUGUAUUUUACAUGGAGCUGACACUCAAACCCAGGCACGGUGAUGUGGGACAUCAAGGCUCUGACUCGGCUCUCCAUCUGCUUUUAAAUUUUUAGGAUCGUGUCUGACAUCUGUUAAUGAAAUGCGACUGACCUUGUAGCUAUAUAAGAAGCCUCAGCCUCCCUAUCUACAGUAGCGGCACUAACAAACCGGUUAAAUGCUAACAUACAUUAUUUGAAGCCAUCACUUUAUUCCAUCCUCCAAACCCUUGAUAGAAGAGGGCAGCGGAAUGAUAACAUUGUCCUGUUUAAGGUGACACAUAAUGUUCCCAUGUAGUUUUCAUCCUCUAUGGCUUUAAUAAUUAUGAUUGGCAUACAGAUACCGUGGAAAAUGCUGCUCUGUGUCCAUUUACAGAAAACACCAGAAAAUAUGCCCAUAAUUUAUGCAAGGCAUCAUGGGGUGGAUAAGGUGGAUAGUUAGUUUAGGUUGUAUAAUUAGAGAAGGUUAUAUAGUUAGUUAAGUUAGGUUGUAUAGUUAGAAAAGGCUGUUUGUUAGUGUAGUUGAGUUAGUAAGUUAGUUAGUUAGUUAGUUAGUUGAGGUAGAAGAAUUAGUAAAAGGAGUAUAGCAGUGGCGGUUGCUGGUCUUUCAAGGAGGGGAAGCUCAUUUUUCUGGCCUACAUCAUAAUUGUGUUUGUUUAUUUUUAUGUAACAGAACAGAGUCGCCAAACACAACGGCAGUCGUUUUUAACAAAGACAAAAGUCGCUGAGGAUCGGUAAAGUCUCCGGAGCAGUUAAGAACAACGGAAUUAAUAACUUGGAAAAUGAUCUAGUAGAUGUUUUAUUCUUCAAGAUCGCUGAUUCGCUUGUUUAGCUGUCAUUCAAAAAAAGGUUUCGCCUCAGACAGCUCAUCCAAUCAUGGAUGCAGAAGCUCAGCGUCCGCGAGAAAGUUGGGACCGCCCUCUCGUCAUAGAACUCCAGAGACGCUGAGCGUCCGAUGGGCGGGACAAAGCCCAACAUUUAUCCAAUGGGCGUCUAGUUUCGCUGCUGGAACAACCCACUUUGAGCUUCCACAUUGAAGUCAGCAGACGCUGAGCGUCAGGCUGUGUAAAGCGCUGAGGCGCUACGAGGAUGAAUGAGAACGAAGUUGUGCCGGUUACCUGUGAUUAUCAGCUUCUUAUCACAGUGUGAUUUUAGUUAACAAAAUGUUCACACAGCAGUACGUAUUUCACCACCUUUUUCUUUUUUUGGGGGGGGGUGACAUUUUAAGGGAAGCUGAGCUUCCCUUGCAGUCUUAGAGCAAUCGCCACUGGAGUAUAGUAAGUAUGGGCUGUAUAGUUAGUAUAGAUCAGUGGUUCUCAAGUCCAGUCCUCGAGCGCCCCCCGUAUGUGAAAUAUUGGCUGUAGAAUAAGUUUAGUAAUUUAAGGUAGUUUCGGUAAUACUGGUUGUAUAGUUAGUUGAGUUAUCUUUGGUAAUUUAGGUGAAAUUGGUUGUGUAGUCGGUAUAGUCAUUUAAGUUCCUAUGGGUAAUAUUGGCUGAAUAGUUAGUAUAGUAAUCUUAGGUAGUUUAGGUAUUCUGGUUGUCAAGUAAGUAUAGAUAUUUAAGGUAGCUUAGGGAUUAUUGGUUGUAUAGUUAGUUUAGUUAUCUUAAGUAGUUCAGGUAAUAAUGGCUGUAUAGCUAGUUCAGUUAUCUUAGGUGGUUUAGGUAAUAUUGGUUGCAGAGUUAGUUCAGUUAUCUUAGGUUGUUUUGGUGAUACAGGUUAUAUAGUUUGUUAUCUAAGGUUAUGAACAGUCCGAGGUCCUCAAAUAGGAUUUUUCCUCCCUCGUGGAUCACCUGCUGCACACUGGUAAGCGUGUGGUAAUCUCCGGCCUGCUGCGAUCACCUCGUCACAGGGACGUAAUUAGCAGCUGUAUUCGUCAGCUGCACCUGUGGCUGAAGGGGUACUGCCUCGGGAGAAGCAUCCCAUUUGUGGACAAUUUCACAGCGUUUUUAAACAGACCAUACCUCUUUAGUGGGGCGGUCUGCACCCGAACCGGGAGGGAUCGUGGCUUUUAUCAGUAAAUAUGGACCUUACCCUCCGCUCCUGUACCACAGCCACCUCCUGACAAACUGUCAACACUUGCACACACACACCCCACCCCUCACCCCCCUGCACUCCCUCACACACCUCAACAGCAACACCCCCACCACUCUUGAUAGAAAAAGGACACUCACACUAUCAAAACCAUCAUUUCAUACAGACAACCGAAACCAAGGACUGUUUUUAGACCCCCCCAGUGAUUUUGAAAUCCCCCUUUUAUCAAGAGCUGAGCGCAUGUUUGGCACAGACAUUAAAAUAGCUGUGCUGAACGUGCACUCUCUUUUAAACAAGUCUUUUAUAAUAAAUGAUUUAAUUUUAGAAAAACAGCUUGACUGUAUCCUGCUUAAUGAGACAUGGCUUGGCACCGAUGCACCUAUUGUUUUCUCUGAGGUUGUGUAACACAAUCCACACUGUCCCCUUCUGCAGUUCCUUUUAGCAGCUACUCGUCAUUUGAAUAUCACGCCUUUGUUUUUAGCAGCCCUCCUAUCCUCUGCAUUAAUGUGUACAGACCCCCCCCCUGCUACUCGACCUCUUUUAUCAGUGAAUUCUCCGAACUUUUAUCAAUCAUCCACACCACCUACAACAGGAUUUUAAUAACUGGUGAUUUUAAUUUACACAUUGACAACACCUCAGACCCAGUGUCUAGAGAAUUUUUAAACCUUUUAAAGGGGACCUGCCACCAAAAAUGUAAUUUUUGCAUUUUUGUGUGUCAGAUUAAGUCCAUAUUAUGUUCGUCUCAUGUUGUUAAUGUGAAAAUAAACCGUUAUGUCGUUUGCAUUCUGUAAAGAUUUAAAAUAAAGAAAUGGGUAAACCAGGACGAUUGAAAAAGCAGGUCAUUCUGACGUCAAGGUGACCUUGCUCAUUAUUAUUCACAAGUGCGUCCUCGGUGAGCCGCGCCCACUCUCUCGUUCUCGUACCCAGUCACAGUCAUCAUCACUCUCCAGCCAGAGCGAGACCCAGCUACCACUGUAUCUGCUAUGGGCCUCUUCCAAACGACCGGUGUUUCCUUGGGUUCACUGCCAGGAAAAUGAACUUAAAGCUGGGCAGAAUGAAUAAGAAAACACAGCUGGAGCACCGAAAUUAGUUCUUUUGCUCUCCGGCUUCUUCUUCAACUUCCACCUCCUCUUUGGACUCGGACUUGGGGUCAAAAAUAUAUGGUUUAAUACCUGCCAUUUUUAACCUUUAGCAUAAGGUGACCAGACGUCCCCCAUUUCCCCCUUCACUCAAACUGGCCGCUGUCACCCCCAUCCUCAAAAAACCUGGACUCAACCCUGACGAUAUCAAUAACUUCCGGCCCAUUUCCAACCUCCCUUUCCUGUCGAAAAUCCUCGAACGACUCAUUGCAUCACAUAUCAAAGCCCACCUCAACAAUAACAAUCUUUAUGAACUGUUUCAAUCAGGAUUCCGCACCCACCACAGCACCGAAACUGCCCUCAUCAAAGUCACAAACGACCUCCUCAUUUCUGCUGACUCCGGCCAACUCUCCAUCCUCAUCCUCCUUGACCUCUCCGCCGCUUUUGACACCAUUGACCACGCCAUCCUCCUGUCCCGCCUACACUCCCUCCUCAAUGUCACAGACACUGCUCUCAACUGGAUCCAUUCAUAUCUCACAGACCGGAAUCACUUCAUCCACAUCAACAGCUGCUCCUCCACAACUGCCCCCAUGUCCCAAGGUGUCCCCCAGGGUUCGGUGCUUGGUCCUCUCCUCUUCAUCAUCUACCUCCUCCCUCUCGGCCACAUCCUCCGUCAACACAAUCUCCAUUUCCACUGCUAUGCUGAUGACAUUCAAUUGUACAUCUCUUCCACCUCCAUCACUCCCCAGACCCAACGCUCCCUCUCAAACUGCCUCACUGAUGUCAAAAACUGGAUAGACAGCAACCUUCUAAAGCUCAACUACAACAAAACAGAUCUCAUCAUCAUUGGCCCAAAAUCCCUCACCUCCACAGUCACAGACUUUCAUCUCUUCAUUGACAACUCCAUCCUCUCCCCCUCCCCCCACUGUCGCAACCUUGGUAUUCUCUUUGACAGCAACCUCACCUUCACACAGCAUGUAAACACAGCACUACCUCCACUCUCCUCAAUAAACUUCAGCUCAUCCAGAACUCUGCCGCCCGCCUCCUCACCCAUACACGCUCCCACCAACACAUCACCCCUGUCCUCCAGAACCUUCACUGGCUCCCCAUGCCCCAUCGCAUUCAGUACAAAAUCCUCCUUCUCACCCACAAAGCACUCCACAACCAGGCCCCCCCCCCACCUGCAAGAUCUUCUCCACCCCUACAUCCCCCCCGCACCCUCCGCUCCGCCGAUGCCAACCUCCUCACAGUUCCCUCGACCAAGCACCGAACCUGGGGGGACAGAGCAUUCUCAGUCAACGCCCCCACCCUAUGGAACUCACUCCCACUGGACCUCAGAAACUGCACCAACCUUACCAGAUUCAAAACCCAGCUCAAAACUCACCUUUUCCGCACUGCUUUUCAUCUUCCUUAGCCCCCUCCCCCCCCCCCCCGAUUGUUGAUUUUACUUGAUUUUAAUUGAUAUUGAUGUAUUUUAUUGUAUAUUGUUGUAUGUUUUUAUUCAUGUACAGCGUCUUUGAGUCUGUGAAAAGCGCUUUACAAAUAAAAUGUAUUAUUAUUAUUAUUAUUUCCGGGGACAGUCCCCGAAUUGGAUGACCUGUCCCUGGCAAAAGCUGUCCCCUAAAAUGUCCCCGAUUUAAGCGUUACAUGAGUGAGAACAAAAAUGUUGUGUGUGGGCAAGAACAAUGGUUAUUACAGUAGCCGAAAGGGUAGGAAGUACAAGUAAGCAGUCCUGAACAACAGUUUUUACGGGGGAUAAACCGAAAUCCGAACCUCUACUGCUGAGCCAAUCAGAGCACAGCAGGCUUCACAGCAGCGAUCCAAUCAGAGCAAAGCUCAUUACCAUAAAUGUUAAUGAGCCAAAAUCAGUUAGUUUUCCUGUAAGGUUUUUUAGGCAUACUAAAAUGGUUUGAAACAAACCAUCAAAUAACUUUUCAGCUAAAAUUAUGUUACAAACAUGAUCAGAGGACAUCAAGGAUUAUGAAAAAAUGAUUGAAAUGGGUAUGAAAUUUUGAUGGCAGGUCCCCUUUAAUCUGCUUUGAUUUUUAGCAGCAUGUGACACAGCCGACCCACAGCAGGGGGCGAAUGCUGGACCUGGUCAUAAGCUAUGGCCUGUCCAUCGGUGUGCCCUCUGUUGUGGAUCUGGCUGUGUCUGACCAUUUUUGUGUGUUUUUUAAAAUCAGCAAUUUUAACCAGAGGGGGAGCCCAGUCAGAACGGUAAGGAAACGCUACAUAACUUCUGAAGUGUCUGCAAAUUUUAUUCACAUCCUACAGAACACUUCUUCACAAAUUUGCCAGCACCUUGUGAUUUUAUCAUUGACAAUUUUAACAACAAUCUAAGGUCAACACUGGACUCAGUUGCUCCACUUUUAACCAAAACAAUCAAGAAAAAAACAAGACCCCCCAUGGAGAAUCGCGUAUAUCAAAGAGCUCAUACAAAAACGCAGGAGAGCUGAAAUAAGAUGGAGAAAAUCAAAAUUAACAGUCCACCUUGAAAUUUUUAAACAAUACCUCAAAACCUUCAAUAGCACAGUCAAACAGGCAAGAACUUCCCACUACAAACUAAUCGCUGACAAUAAACAUAACCCCAGAUUUCUUUUUACAAUAAUUGAUCUUUUAACAAACAACAAUUUUAACAGAACCCCUGGGUCAUCCUCUGAUACCCUCUGUGAGGAUUUUGCAGACCACUUCAGAAGUAAAAUCAACAACAUCAGAUCCAAUGUUUUAUCUCAACAGAUUUUAACUGCUAAUAUACCUGGAUCACUGCUUUUACCUGAGGAAACACUGGAGAGUUUUGCACUGGUUGAUGCGCAGACACUUGGUCGAGUUUUCUUCCAAGUAAACCCCACAACCUGCCUUUUAGAUCCAAUUCCCACACGGUUUUUUAAACAGUUUUAUGGAUUCUUUGAGGAACAGCUUUUAAACAUUGUAAAUUGCUCUCUUCAGACAGGGGUCUUCCCCACCUGCUUUAAAACGGCGCUGGUGAGGCCUCUUCUGAAGAAGAGCAAUCUGGACCCCAAGAUUUUUAACAAUUACCGACCUGUAUCCAACUUACCAUUUUUAAGUAAAAUCUUGGAAAAACUUCAACAAGUAAAUGAUUUUUUAAAUACAAAGAGCAUUUUAGAGAAGUGCCAAUCAGAUUUUAGGAGGAACCACAGUACUGAGACAGCCCUUUCAAAAAUUUUGAACAACAUCAGGUGCAAUUUAGAUAAUCGCAAACUCACAGUCUUGGUCCUGCUGGAUCUAACCGCCGCCUUUGAUACAGUAGACCAUCACAUUUUAUUAAAUAGACUUAAGCACCUUGUCGGCCUCUCAGGCACUGUUUUUAACUGGUUCACCUCUUAUCUCACUGAUCAGCACUUCUUAGUAAGUAUGGAUACAUGUUCCUCACGAACCCAUAAAAUUAUGUGUGGGGUUCCCCAGGGGUCAAUUUUAGGUCCAACUCUUUUUAAUCUUUACAUGCUUCCCCUGGGGGACAUCAUCAGGAGGCACGGCAUCAACUUCCACAGUUAUGCUGAUGAUACACAAUUGUACAUGGCCGUGUCUCCUGAUGAUAGCGGGCCGAUUGAUGGCCUUUUAAACUGCAUUUUAGACAUCAAAUCCUGGAUGGCAGCCAACUUCCUGCAGCUCAACCAGGACAAAACAGAGGUUUUAGUUAUUGGUCCUGAAGGCCUGAGAGAGACGCUUUUACCAAAACUACAAGAUUUUAAAGUAUCAACAUUCAUAAAAAACCUGGAUGUAAUUUUCGACUCUGGGCUCAGUUUUAUUCCACACAUCAAAAACAUAGCAAAGGUAGGUUUUUACCACCUUAAGAAUAUAGCCAGAGUCCGCCCGUUUCUCUCCCAGGCCAGCACGGAGGUGCUGAUGCAUGCUUUUAUCUCCUCUCGUUUAGAUUAUUGUAAUUCCCUGCUCUCUGGCCUCCCAAAGAGGAACUUACAUACACUUCAGCUAUUACAAAGACCAGCUGCAAGAGUGCUGACAAGGGCCAGAGGGCGAAAGCAUAUAACGUCAGUUUUAGCAUCACUGCAUUGGCUCCCCAUCUGUUUCAGGUUUGAUUUCAUGGUUCUUUUAUUAGUUUUUAGAUGUAUUAAUGGUCCUGGCCCCUCCUAUUUAUCUGACUUACUUUGAUCAUAUCAACCCUCGCGGACCCUGAGGUCCUCCGGCACAGGCCUUUUAACCUUACCCAAAGUCAAAACAAAAACACACGGGGAGGCAGCUUUCAGUUUUUAUGGUCCCCGGUUGUGGAACAGCCUGCCGGAGAGCCUCACGGCUGCAGAGACUGUUGAUAUUUUAAGAAGAGGCUCAAGACUCACUUUUUUAACCAGGCUUUUUACUAAUUGCCAUUUUAGAUUUCUCUUAUUGCAAAUGUUAAUUUUAAUCAAAGUUCUUGAUGUUUAUUUUAUGUCAUUCCAUCAAUUAUCUCUGUUCUUAGUCUUUCUCUUAAUUCCCGUCACAGGUUUUUACUUUGUUUACCCCCUUUUUAUAUGGUAAAGAGCUUUUACCUUUUACUUACCUGUUCAUUUAAUAUGAUUUUCUUGUUUCAGUCCAUCAGGUUUACUCUUUUCACCAUUUUUAUUUCUGUUUUUAUCUCCAGUGUUUCCCAGAGGUAGCUCUUUCCUUGCAUAAUGUGUCGGUGUCAGGCCUUGUCUCUCCACCAAUAUAUCUUAAAUUCUCACACUGUGUGCGGUUGUGUGUGAGUGGGUGAGUGAGGGUGGGUGUGUGUCUUUGUGUGCGUGUGGGUUCAGGUGUGUGAGUGUGUGGAUGGGAGGGUUGGGUUUUAGUGAGUGGGACUCAUAAGCAAUUAUGUUAUUCAUAUCUUUAUUGAGUGGGAUUGCGAAGCAUUCCCACUAUAUGUUAUUCAUAUCUUUAUUAUUGAGUGGGAUUGCGAAGCAUUCCCACUAUAUGUUAUUCAUAUCUUUAUUAUUAUUAUUAUUAUUCCGCCGUUUUUUGGCAGUCAACUACUUCCACAUACUUCAACAUAUUCAAACCAUUCAAACUUCAAAAUAUUCAUCUCAUUGAGGAGAUUCCGGCUUGUAUUCAAAAUUUCCUUACAUUCAUACUUUCCGAGAUAUUCCAGGUUUUCCGACCGAUUUCUCCCAUUAGAAAUGCAUUACGGAAUGUUCAAAUUGGCCCUUUUCUCACAUUUUCUUCAAACAACUUCAAAAGCCUUCAACUCCUCUAUACUUCCACGUAGAAACUUCAUUCAAAAACCAAAAUAUUCACCAAUUAGUCAGCAUUAUUCCACACCUUCAACAUUUUUAAUCCCAUUUGUACUUUUCAAAACAUUAAGAUUUGUUUAAAACUUCAUUAUAAUGGCAGUCAAUGGGAAAAGGGCUUCAGACGUAGUCAACUUCAACCUCUUCUCAUUCAUUCAUACUUUCACCUAGAAACUUAAUUCAAACUUUAAAAUAUUCACACAUCUUCGGACAUUCACUCAUUCAUUCACCAUCUUCAUGGCAUUUAUACUUUUCUCACAGUGACAGUUAAAAAAGUCCAAAGAUUUUCUGACCUGUUCAGGUUUUAACAUUAGUGUGUAUUGCACGGAAUGUUGGCAGCUAGAGUGGGAUGACAUCCUCGCUAGAGUGAGACAGGCUAAAAAUUGAUCCUCAAAACUUUGUCUUUACAAAAGGAUUGUGGCAACUCACUUCGCUCUACACAGAUAAAAUUUGGUACAGUGAUGGCAAAACUCGCUGUCACUCUUCAUCUAAAAAAUCAAAGCCGUAGGACACACACAGUGGCUAGGGCAGACACCAACUGCCACAGACAUCCCCAACAUUUCUCCAGCUUUCUCCAUUGACUCCAAUAUAAACCUGAGUGGAGGAUUUUUAUAGGAAACACAAACUGGGCAUGUUUUUAACUUGUCCUAGUGAAGGCAUUUUUGGCUCCAUAGACACAAAAAUUAUAUCAAUGUGUUCAGCCGGGUCUUGUGGUUCUCACAAGCUCCUUAUCAUGAAGAUACCAGUUACAGAGGAUGAGCAAUAGGGCAUUGUUUGGGCAUUGCUCUCUCAGCUUCAAACCUCCUUUCUCCUGCUGUAGUAAUGCAUCUACCUUCACCAUGGCAACCAAUAGAGCACCUGGAGACACACAUCUGACUGGAAAGCUGCUUCUAACGGUUGUAUGAGACACAUGAAGCCAGGCUCAGUACACAGAGUACUGGGGGUUACAUUUAAAACCCUUCACUAGAGUUAUUUGACAAACUUAAUCAUCUAUCUCUUCCUACAAACUUUGAGCUACAAAAACCAUGCUGGGCUCAAAAAAUUCAGCUCAUUGAGGACAUUAUGGGGUAUAAUCAGGAUUUUUAUUCAUUUACAUUUUCCCCAUUUUUCAAUCAUUCAUUGAUAGUGCAUUAUAAAAUUCUUUAAACUAAUUUAAACUCAUUGAAAUCGAUUCAAACCUUUCUGAAUCUUCAAACCUCUUUUACUUCCAGAUUUUUAAUCAUUUUAAUUUUCCAGUUUUAAAUCAUUUUCACUCUUUAUGCAUUAUUCAGUUCUUGAAAAAAAAAAUUAAACUCAUUCAACAGGCAUGAAAAUGGGUCAGGGGUUGAAAAGGUGAGAAGAGUGCGGAGGAACUACGUUCCGGUAUACUGUACAACCCAACAAAAUAUUGAGCUCUGUCCACCCACACUGUGUUUCAGUGAUCUGCAGGAGGCGCCAAAAACACUCUAAGUCUCUCUCUCUCACACACACACAAACACACACACGCAUCUUGUGCUGGCCAUGUUUUAUUUAGAAACAAAGUUUACUUUCACAGAAGCUAAAUGAGUUAGAUGAGUCAGAGAGAGGUGUUUAAAACUAAUUGUACAAGGCCAUAUGAACAAUAAUAAUUUAAAGAGAAAAAAAAAACAGAAUUAAAAAUAAUAAAGACUUAAUAUCCUACACUUUAGAUCAAUGUAUGCCCUGCCAGACUGGAGAACAAUACAUGCAAUUCCAAUAGAUCCAAUACCAAGUCCUAUUGAUCACUUUUUCUUUUUUCUUUUUGCCUGGGCCGCCAGAGUCUCCAUGGCCUUUUACGCUGAGUGGCCACAUGCCUCAGCCUUGCCUGCUUCUCACUUUCAACAGCCUGCUUCUUUGCCUGCUGAGCACCCCCAGUUUCUUGACAGCCAUAUGAAAAAUAAUAGCAACAUAGCGAUUUACACAACAGCUUUAGUAGCUUGUGGUCCAAACACACGGCAAGCCUUUUGUGACACACUCUUCCUUGUUGUCUUCUCUCACGCUAAUGUCGCGCUGAAAAAAAUGGACCCCCCCGUCUUGUCAACGGAUGGAGCCAGAGCAGUAAACGCGAGACGCCCACUUUCACUGUUUUAGAUGGCUCAAAACCAUUACGUUUUAAUGAAUCAAUGAAUAACAUCAGCGGCGAAAAGGAAUGUUAAAAAGACCAGGGUUCACAUGUUUUUAUUUUUUCACAAAAGGCAUCAAGCAUGGGCCAAAGCAUAGGACAACAAGUUCUAGAGUUUACCACUUCACCUUCAGCCUUUUCAGUCCCUCACCUGAAUAUUAUCCUCACACGUCCCUGAAAUACCAAUUACAGAGAUAUUAGAAAGAAGCUUGUGUUUCUUCUUUUAUGUUACCGUUAACUACACAAGCUUGGCGCUAACUUAAUAUCAAGCAAACGGGAGCUAUUUUUUCACCGGAGAUUUGGCUAGCUCUGGCAGUGUUCAACUUAAGCUGUAACGAACGGCAGUAACUUUGUUAUACCACAAAAUAUGAAAACGAUUGAACCAAUUACUCACCAAAUUCAAUCUGCUGGUAAAUGCAGGUAAAUGUGUACACUACACUCUGGUCUGCCUUGUCCCCGGUGUUGUGCCGUAGAAUGCACCCCUGCAUCCCAUCCACUCAUUAGCUUCUUAAAGUGGAAGAAAAUAAGCUCAUAUUUUAUAAAGACACGAGUAUUUGGAUCAUGACUACUAGCAAACUUUCGUUCUGUUUUAAUGUGUCUCAAAAAUGCACAUAUCGAGGUGCACUUGGGUAUAUAAACUGUACAGUAAGACGUCAAGGUAGAAAACAAUAUACUUUCGGGACAGCAAAUAUUCUGAAUCAGAGGGCUAUUGUUUUUGGCUAAUCUGAAUAACCUGAAUGAAAUCAUUAAAGGCACACACUUUUGAAUCCGUCCAACGGUAGGGAAAACUUGGAUUAUUUGGCCUUGUUAUUUACUUUCAAGCCCGUCAGGGGGGCAUUCUACGGCAGGGGUGCAUUCUACGACACAACACCGGCGUGAAUAAGUCUCGCAGCUUUGCAAUGCUACCACGGGCUCUCCAAGCACUCCAAGUACCCGUGAAGAGUGUGCGCAUGAUUGGAAUAAUGGAACGCAGUUUGGCCUAUGAUUGGUUCUCGUCAGCGAAGCAGCCAGGAGGAUUUCCUGACUUUCCAAGUGUCAUUUUAAAGGGCCGAUUUCUUAAGUGCUCAGUUUGCGUAUUGAUUCAAAUCUUCCUGACACUUCAAACCUUUUUAUUUUUAACAUAUUUUUAAACUUCAGCCAUUCGCAAUAGCAGCUUAGCGAUAGCAAUUUCAACCAGAGCAAUCCCACUCGUAAUUUCUUCAGAAAUUUCAUUUUCUAGUUGUCAUUAUAGUUGUUUUUAGCCUCUGUGAGGCACUUUAAAUUGCAUUUGUUUGUAUAAAAAGUGCCAUAUAAAUAAAGUUGAAGUUGAAAUUGAAUUUGAUUAGGUUAUACUGGUUGUAUAGUUUGUUAUACCAGGUAGUUUAGGUAAUAAUAGUUGUAUAGUUAGAUCAAUUAUCUGAGGUAGUAUAGGUUAUAUAGGUAGUACUUGUAGUAUAAUUAGAGGUACCUUGUGGAGACAUGAGCAGGUUGACACUCUCCAACACGUCCAGAAACAGCUCGUUGUGUCUGUAUUUCAACCCCUCCCUCCUCCAGCUGAUCUGACCCAUCACCUUAUUGGUGAGCUGGGAAUGCUCCUCUUUGGUCUGAGGGGGGAGCAUUAGUGUAUUCACUUCAGUCAGUCUAGCUGGAGAGUGUCACUCUUUUUGUGUGUUUGUGUGUGUGUGUGCAGACUCACAUGAUGCUGCAGGAUGAGGCAGGUGAGCAUGAAGGAAAACAGUACAUAGGUUAACAAAUACACUGAUUGCAGGAGGCGCUGUGGAGGUGUCAGCACUGUAUUUUCUUUAGGUUUUGAU